CAUUUUGAAAAUUGAAGUUUUGUGUGUUCUUAUUGUACUUUAUAUCGUUUAUAACAGGUCAACUUUAUACGUAAGCUUCAUUCCAUUUAUAACAGAGUUUUCAUAUGUGAGGUAAUCAUCUUGCUGGGAGUGAAGGCAGUGCGUAUGACCGCUUGAUACGAGAGACACAUUCUAUUUUUAAAGGUCAACAUACUGUAAGCUUCAUUCCCUUUAAAGCAGAGUUUUCAUAUGUGAGGUAAUCUUACUGGGAGUGAAGGCAGUGCAUAUGACCACUUGAUAUGAAAGACACAUCCUGUUUUUAAAGGUGGAUCAUGAGUGAAGCUCUGCAGGUCUGCCAUUAGCUUGAUAACAGUGGUUUAUGUGAAUUGAGUGAAUUCAAUUUAUAAAUAAAUCUUUCACCAAGCAUUCACCUAUUUAUGGACAAAACGGAUCCAAAUCUUGUUCAGCCUGAUGCUCAACCUUGUAUGAUGAUGACCACAGCCAGGUGAUGGAGAUCUGUGUUAUUCACAGCCUGCGUCUCAAGAUCAACAUGACAAUAGCAGACCAUUUCUUAUCUUACUCUUAUCUGACUAAAUGUUCAGCAUCAUUGCAACAAAACAAAGAACAUUGGAUGGAGUAUUGGAGUAUUGGAUGAUCCCGUAAAGAAAAUAAUAUGGACUUUUUUGGUGAGAUUCUACAAAGAUUGACACAAUCCUAUUGACUUUUAUUUUUACAGUUAAUAAUGCAUUAUAAACAUCCCAUUCAUUUGUAUUCUAUGUCAUUGAUCUGUUUGUGCUAAAAUGUAUACAUCUGAAUGUAAUGUCAAUAAUAUGUUAAUAUUCAGGAUUUAUUAUCAUUUGCAUGUUUUGAUGUUGCAUAUCAUGAUUUUAUUGAUUUCAUGUAAUUGUUGUCUAUUUAAAAUUAUUUUAAUUG